rnacentral:misc_RNA from 1 species
AAAAACAAUACAAACAAUCUCAUUGAUUGCUUACCUCAUGGAAUACAAGGAUGUGACUGGACCUCAUUUAAUAGUUGCUCCCAAGGCAGUACUGCCAAACUGGAUUCAUGAAUUCACAACAUGGGCCCCAAGUAUCGCUGCUGUUCUUUAUGACGGACGUCAAGAGGAGAGAAAAGCUAUAAAGGAGGAGCUACUGAGUGAAGGAAAAUUUUGUGUCUUGAUUACACAUUAUGAUCUCAUUAUGAGAGAUAAAUCAUUUUUGAAGAAAAUACACUGGUAUUAUAUGAUUGUUG